rnacentral:rRNA from 1 species
CCUACGGGCGGCAGCAGUGAGGAAUAUUGGUCAAUGGACGAGAGCCUGAACCAGCCAAGUCGCGUGAAGGAUGACUGUCCUAUGGGUUGUAAACCUCUUUUAUCUGGGAGCAAAAUUCACCAUGCAUGCCGUUCUGAGUGUACCCGAUGAAUAAGCAUCGGCUAACUCCGUGCCAGCAGCCGCGGUAAUACGGAGGAUUCGAGCGUUAUCCGGAUUUAUUGGGUUUAAAGGGAGCGCAGGCGGAAGCUCAAGUCAGUGGUGAAAUUUGGCGGCUCAACCGUAUAAGAGCAGUUGAUACUGGUUGUCUUGAGUGCGGCAGAGGUAUGCGGAAUGCGUGGUGUAGCGGUGAAAUGCAUAGAUAUCACGAAGAACUCCGAUUGCGAAGGCAGCAUACUGG